rnacentral:rRNA from 1 species
ACUGCUCUGGAUUCAGCGGCGGACGGGUGAGUAAUGCCUAGGAAUCUGCCUGGUAGUGGGGGACAACGUUUCGAAAGGAACGCUAAUACCGCAUACGUCCUACGGGAGAAAGCAGGGGACCUUCGGGCCUUGCGCUAUCAGAUGAGCCUAGGUCGGAUUAGCUAGUUGGUGAGGUAAUGGCUCACCAAGGCGACGAUCCGUAACUGGUCUGAGAGGAUGAUCAGUCACACUGGAACUGAGACACGGUCCAGACUCCUACGGGAGGCAGCAGUGGGGAAUAUUGGACAAUGGGCGAAAGCCUGAUCCAGCCAUGCCGCGUGUGUGAAGAAGGUCUUCGGAUUGUAAAGCACUUUAAGUUGGGAGGAAGGGCAGUAAAUUAAUACUUUGCUGUUUUGACGUUACCGACAGAAUAAGCACCGGCUAACUCUGUGCCAGCAGCCGCGGUAAUACAGAGGGUGCAAGCGUUAAUCGGAAUUACUGGGCGUAAAGCGCGCGUAGGUGGUUUGUUAAGUUGGAUGUGAAAUCCCCGGGCUCAACCUGGGAACUGCAUCCAAAACUGGCAAGCUAGAGUAUGGUAGAGGGUGGUGGAAUUUCCUGUG